CAGAGGAUCUGUAAGAAUCACUCCAAAUCCUGGAAAACUUUUCUCUUGUGGAUUUUUAGGCCACCUUUUUCCAUGUUUCUUUCUCAUCAUCUGUAUGCUGAAAAUAAACAGCCAAGAGCUCUGCCAGGAUUGUUUGACAGGCGUACUGGCCUCUCUCCAGGAAUGACACAUUUGGCACAAUCUUUAGAUGGGACAGAAAACUAGGCCGCAUGAAAACAGCUCUUCAAGCACCAGAGAACAUUCAAAAGGUCCUUUGGAAGGAUAUGGAAGGAUAUUGAUAAGGUCCAUCCUCAGUGCUUUGUAGAGGACUGGAACAUUUAUGUCUUGCAGAUCCCAAUGGGGAAGGCCACUGGAGUCCAGAAAGAAGAACAAGGAAAGUUGCCUUUAUUAAAACAGGAGCUAAAGAAGAAGAGGAGAUGGCUCAAGAAAUACCCUUGUGUGAUUGGAUCCAACACAAUUCCUUUGUAUGUCACGGAUUCUAUGUAAUCAUUUUUGUAUUGUUGCUGCUUUUGCCUACUCUGCUAGGAUGCUUAAAUGCAUUCUUAAAAAUUCUAUAGAGGUGUUGACAGAAGAGCUCAUUUGUCAACAUGAGAAUAUUCAGUCUUAUUAAUAAAAGAGGGAGAGAUGUAAGGAACAAUGAAGCAUUGCUUUCUCUUUGAGAUGUGCCACGGAGCCUGUAUGCUACAUCAGCUGGUAAGGGCAGGCCCACCAGAUAAAAAGGAGCCUGGCUUCUGAGGCAGGAAGUUGUAUCUGGAUGGCAUUAAAGGAAGUUCUAAUAGGUUUCCUGAAAUGGCAAGGGGCAUGUCCUCUUGCUAGAUCUCUUUCUGGGAUGCAGCACUAACUCCAGAAGCCUCUCUUCUAAGGCUCCACCUAUGCAGUCCUGAGUGGGAUAGGCUUGGGCAAUCCCAGAGAAGAGGCAGCAUAAAUAGACAACCCUGAGCAGAGCUUGCUCUCUUUUUUGCUCCUAUACUCUUUCUUCCUGUUAUCCCCACUGAGAGGAUGACUGAAUAAAGUCAGAAUGUUUGCA